rnacentral:rRNA from 1 species
CCCUUAGAUGUCCUGGGCUGCACGCGCGCUACACUGAUGUGUCCAGUAAGCACCUAACCUCUUCCGAAAGGAACGGGUAACCUUUGCAAAGCACAUCGUGAUGGGGAUAGAUUAUUGCAAUUAUUAGUCUUGAACGAGGAAUUCCUAGUAAGCACAAGUCAUCAGCUUGUGUUGAUUACGUCCCUGCCCUUUGUACACACCGCCCGUCGCUCCUACCGAUUGAGUGUUCCGGUGAAUUAUUCGGACUGCAACAGUUAUCUGUCGCGGAAAGUCUUGUGAACCUUAACACUUAGAGGAAGGAAAAGUCGUAACA